CCCUUAGAUGUUCUGGGCCGCACGCGCGCUACACUGAUGCAUUCAACGAGUCUAAAACCUGCUCUGAUAGGGGUGGGUAAUCUUUUGAAUGUGCAUCGUGAUUGGGAUAGAUGAUUGCAAUUUUCAUCUUCAACGAGGAAUGCCUAGUAAACGCAAGUCAUCAGCUUGCAUUGAUUACGUCCCUGCCCUUUGUACACACCGCCCGUCGCUCCUACCGAUUGAAUGAUCCGAUGAAUAUCAUGGAUUGAGGAUGCAAGCAGGUUCGCCUGUCUUCAUCUUCGAGAAGUGAAGUAAAUCUUAUCAUUUAGAGGAAGGAGAAGUCGUAACA
rnacentral:rRNA from 1 species